AUUGAACGCUGGCGGCAUGCUUUACACAUGCAAGUCGAACGGUAACAGGGUGCUUGCACCGCUGACGAGUGGCGAACGGGUGAGUAAUGCGUCGGAACGUGCCGAGUAGUGGGGGAUAACGCGGCGAAAGUUGGGCUAAUACCGCAUACGUACUGAGGUAGAAAGUGGGGGACCUUCGGGCCUCACGCUAUUGGAGCGGCCGACGUCUGAUUAGCUAGUAGGUGAGGUAAAGGCUCACCUAGGCGACGAUCAGUAGCGGGUCUGAGAGGAUGAUCCGCCACACUGGGACUGAGACACGGCCCAGACUCCUACGGGAGGCAGCAGUGGGGAAUUUUGGACAAUGGGCGAAAGCCUGAUCCAGCCAUGCCGCGUGUCUGAAGAAGGCCUUCGGGUUGUAAAGGACUUUUGUCAGGGAGGAAAUCCCUAGUGCUAAUAACACUGGGGGAUGACAGUACCUGAAGAAUAAGCACCGGCUAACUACGUGCCAGCCGCCGCCGUAA
rnacentral:rRNA from 1 species